rnacentral:lncRNA from 1 species
CGCCAGGACCAACCCCAGCAUAGUCCGCUCCUGGAAAUUCAUAAAACCCAGGAGAUUACGUCUCGUCGUCGUAGUGAAAUGCAGAUUGAUCGUUAGAUGAAGUUGGAGAAUAAUUGUAAAUCGAAGGUAUACGGAGAGACGUACACAGGCGACGGUAGUUCGGCACGUCUGAGGAAUUCCAUUCGCCAAUCAAUUCCAUGCAGCGGGCCAAAUGCUGUCGAUGUUUGUCAAGGCAAGAGAACACCGAAGUCAACGGUCAAUUAUUUUACAACAAGGUUUGCAACGCGGUUUGCCGAUCCGCACGCCGAGGAAUGUUCCCGAGGGAUUUGCUCCAGGUUCAUUCUAGGAAGAUAAAUUAUUUAGAGGGAAAGCCGUCUUGUUCCCUGCACACAAACACUGCAGCGUUACUUUUUUAAAGCCCAAUUUCCUGCCGCUCCGAAGCUGAGCCCUUCUGCCAUUUUCGUCGCCGAACAAUUGUUGAACGUUUCAUAAACCGCGAGUGCUGUUCAAUUUUUGACAAUUCGCGAUCAACUCGUGAAAUUCGAGCUGGCGAGACGUUCACAGAUGACUACGAUCCGGGUACCACGAUUAGGAUGGUUCCAAAAACAUGCGCUGCAAAAAUUUUUCGUUUAAUGUGCUUACCGAGUUUAUAAUUUACCACGUUUACCAAGGAUAUAGUUAAUAAUGCAUGGUAUAAGUAUCGACGAUUCGAAUUUCCGGUUGUAUAAUAUAAUUCGUCGUGCUUCAUUAACGGGUUAUUAUAUUAGAAAAAAAAUCGACGUGAUCAUUUAUUCUUCUUCUUCUUAGUCUUCAGUUUCCGUAAGCAAAUGUCAAGGACUUCCCGACGUUCGACAUAGGAACAUAAAAAAAAUGUGAACAAAAAAAAAAGACAAAACGCUCGCGUGUUUUUUACCGCAGGUAUAGUCCCGUCGCAAGAUUUCGUGUGGGUGCCGUAAAUACCGUUAAAAUAAUCGGAUGCCGACGUGGCUAAAAAAUUCUUUUUACUUAUCAAUACGUGAAUAAAUAAAUUGACAAAUAGGCAUGAAGAAGAAUAUGGAAAAGAUGACAAACCUGCGAGAAAAACCUCGGAUUUGGCCGUACUGAACCGGUGAGACGCGUCGUCGUGGUCGGCGGACAAACCGCCAAAGGUCUCGAACCACUUCUCGUUCCUUCUGAGCCACAACCUGCGUCGAGAGGUGAGGCAAAAAGUAGAAAAACAUCAAUAGAGUCAAUAAGCUGUGAGAUUGAGCAGGACGGAGGAACGCCGAGGAAUCCGAUCAAAGCCGGCGGUGGACGAGGUGGGCGAGGAGAGAGAGGAAGGAGCCUCGGGGUCUCAAAAGAUCAGUCUACCUCUAUACGACGUCUUAGAGAUUGGACAAAAAUGCCUGUCGAUUUGCUUCAAAAUUCACAUGCGAUAUCAAAUGGGCGUAUCGACUAGGUUAAUUUUCAGCGGGUCAACGCGUGGCUGUAAUAUUAAUUUGUUGAUCUUCGAUCCUUUUAUCACUUGUUAAAUAUGUACAAUUUGAACUGUUCUUGCGAUUGAGUGGAAAAAAAAACAAGAACCGUUUUUAUUGUAAUACAUCGCAUACUUGACUUGUUUCCGACAUUUCAUUUCACGCGCGAUUCUCGAAACGCAGAUUUACUAGAAAAAUAAUAAAUUAAUUGCUGUAAAAAAAAAAAAAAAAAGAAAACCGAAACUCU